rnacentral:misc_RNA from 1 species
UUAAGUUCAGCGGGUAUCCCUACCUGACCCGAGGUCAACCUGAAAAAAAUUGGGGGUUGCUGGCGAGCACACACCCGGGCCUCCAGAGCGAGAAGAAUUACUACGCUCGGAGCCGGAUGGCACCGCCACUGACUUUAGGGCCCGCCAGGGCAGCGGGGCCCAACACCAAGCAGAGCUUGAGGGUUGUAAUGACGCUCGGA